GAAUAGGGACUGGUUAAAAAAGAGCAAGAAAAACGCGUAGGAGUACAACGGCUAGUUCCCAUAAGGGAGGCGGCUUCCCUCUCCCUCACUUAUUUUCACUUCCCUCUCUGAUUGAAUUUUCUGCUGCCUCUCCCAUUCACUCCAUUUUUUUCCUGUUUUCAGCUGAGUCUCUGAUUGAUUUUUUUUUCUGGUUUUUUCCCGGUUUCUGGAACGUUUUAGCACUCAGGCAGCUUUGUUUCGAUUUCUUUUAUCUGAUUUUGAUCGACAGUUCCAUUCUGUUAAUUCAACUCUACUUUUUUGGGUUUCUUGCUUCGAUUCUAUUUUGGUUUGGAUUUUGAUUUGCACACCAAAUGCAUCAGGAUCUACCAUUGUUUCUCAGUUGCGGCCUGAGUUUUAUGAUCCCAGGAAGGCUCUUUUUCAGGCAUCGGACUUGGUCCUUUUCGAAGGAUCAAGUAAAUCAGUAGAUUUAUAUGUUUUUUUUUUUACCAAGAUUGCAACUAUAUUCACUCCUCGUGGGCAACAUCAAUGGAGAUCCCCAGCAGGAUGCUCAUGUUUUCACAGACGGUGAUGAUACAAGGUGAGCAAAGGGAAGAUGGGCCUCUGCUGGUUGCAAAACUUCAUAAUAUUAGAUUUGUAUCUAUAAGGAAACAAAUAGCAAAGGGUCUUGAUUGUUUUGUUAGUAUUAAUACGUACACGUUAGAAUCUAGAAAAUGUUGUUACUAUGACACAAUUUCUUUUUUCCAUCCUGGUAAUUAGUAAAACUUGUAAAUUUUAUGCAAUAAAUAAAAUUUUCUCAACUCAUUUAAUAAUGGAAA